GAAUCGCUAGUAAUCGCAGAUCAGCAUGCUGCGGUGAAUACGUUCCCGGGGCUUGUACACACCGCCCGUCAAACCAUGGGAGGUUUGGAGCACCCGAAGUCAGUGGCCUAACCGAAAGGGAGGAGCUGCCGAAGGUGAGCCAGAUAACUGGGGUUAAGUCGUAACAAGGUAUC
rnacentral:rRNA from 1 species